CGGGAUUUACAAUAAGCGAGACUGCAAGGGUUGGUACUGACGAACAGAAACCGGAUAAGAGGCAUAUUAAACCGGAUAAGGCAGCAUAUCAUACUAACGUCCAAAUCCCAACAAUUCGGGAAAGUAUUUGAUAUGUAGAUUCAGCAGCGAUUGACCGAAGGAUAUU
rnacentral:ncRNA from 1 species